CAGCACUCUACCACUUCUCCAGGAGCCUUGAGAGGCCCACGGCACCAUAACCACACUGCUGACCAUAAGCAGCUUCCCGAUGUUCGGCAGGGCUGAGUCCCAUUAGGUGUCUUCCUUGGAGUCCCAGAACAGCAGAGACUUCCUGUGAUUGAAGGAGGGUGAUUGCACCUAAAAGCUUGCUAAUAACUUGCAGGACCAACAUCUGGACGUGGGGGAGAGCAGCCCCAGCAGGGAUGAGGACUCUGGGUCACCACCACCCAGUACUGGAGCAAUCCAGAUGUACCAGCUGUGCCAGCAGCGUACCCUGGAUAGGAACCUCCUCCUCCAGUGGCUGAUGGUGGCGGAAGAGGAGCAAGAGACAUGGGUACAGGCACAGGCCUGGCAGGCAGAAAAUAUCACCCAGGAGACCACCCAGGACGAGGUGCAAGACUGGGCACAGUGGGACCACUGGUCAUGAAUGGAGGUCCUAGAGUGGGAGUGCAUGGAGCUGCUCUGGCAGCAGGUGGCCAUCCAGACCCAGACAGUAGAGGCCGAGGAAGCUAAUCAUUGGACCCUGGACACCCUCCUGGCCCUGGCUGUUGCACCCAUGCCCCUCAUUGCCCAGCCCCCACCAAUGGCCCCACAGGGCCCUGGGUCCCACUCACUGCUCCACAGCUGGCCCUCUGCAGGAGGGCAUAAUUGUGGGCAUCCACUACAGGCCAAGCCAGGAGGUGGAGGUGGAUGAGGCCUUCUUUAAACAACUGAUGAAAUCUUCCAAAUUGCAGGACCUGGUUCUCAUGGGGAACUUUAAUUAUCAGGACAAUCUCCUGGGAUGGAAAUACAGUAGUGCACAAGCAGUCCAGCACUUCUUGGAUUGUGUUGGGGAUAACUUUUUGAUACAAGUGGUAGAGAAGUCACUUAGGGGAGAAGUGCUUCAUGACUUACUGCUCACAACUUGGGUGACAGGGAACAUGAAAUAAUAGAGUUCAAGAUCCUAUGGGAAGAAAGGAAGGAGAGCAGCGAAAUAAGGACACUGGACUUCAGAAAAGCAACUUUAACAAACUGAGGGAACUGGUUGGCAGGAUCCCCUGGGAGGAAAGUGUAAGGGGAAAAAGAGUCUAGGAAACUUGGUUGUACUUUAAGGAGGUGUUUUUUAAGAGCCUAGGAGCAAGCUGUCCCAAUGCAAUAGAAAUGGGAAGUCCAACAGGAGGUCAGCCUGGCUUGACAGCAAUCUCUUCAAUGCACUGAAACUCAAAAAGGAACACUACAAGAAGUGGAAAUGUGAUCUUAGUACUAGGGAAGAGGAUAAGAAUAUCACACAGGUGUGCAGGGAGAGAGUUAGAAAGGCUAUGGCACAAUCUGAGGUGAAGCUGGCAAGGGACAUACUAAAAAGAAAUAAAAGGGGAUUUUACAAGUACAUCAAACAUCAGAGGAAGCCCAGAGAAACCAUAUGUCCCUUGCAGAAUGUGGAAGUGCACUAGUUAUAGAUGAUUCAGAGAAGGCUGAAGUAUUUAAUGGGGUUUUUUUUUUACCUAAGUCUUCGUGAAUAGGGAAUGCUACUAGAUGAGUGCCAUUGGCAGAAAAAGGAAGGAGCAGGGUUGCCAACCCAGAAACAUGUUUUUUACUGAUAAUCUGCAAACUUCUUACUGACAACCAAUCUUUUUUACUGAUACAUGUUUUUCCUGAUAUGUUUUCCAUAAUGUAAGUAUAACUCUUCUACCAGGCCGUCAUGCUUCCAGAACCCAGUUAGAAGAACUGGGCUCAAAUGUAGAAAUGCAACAACAAACAUAGUAAAAAAGUUUGGUUUGUCAGUAAAAUGUUUGCAGGAAAAAAGAGUCUUGGAUUGGCAACUCUGCUCGACUGCAGCAAUAGUUUUAUACCAUGCUGUCCCCACCCCAGCCCACCCUUACCUUACCCAUGCCUGCUAGCCUCGCUCUCCCCAUCCCCAAGCACAUACCCCUAAAGAAGCCUACCUGCUUCAGCCUACCUGACCCAGCAAUUUAUAGGCAGUUGACAGGAUUCAGCAGCAACAAUAGUACAUGACUGAAGUGGUCAACAAGACCCUGGAUAAAAGCUUCCUGCAGAGUGCUUCGCUCCUGCUCCUGUUCCUGCUCCUGCUGCAUACCAGGUGGCACUGCUGUACUCUUUCGGUGUUUCAACAGUGCAUCCAGCUGCUUUCCCAUCAAGAGCUCUGGCUGCUUAGAGUUUUUACAGACACCUAAAGGUUUUUUUCCAUAUUUUACACACAGGCAUUUUAGCCUGAUUUUUCCUUUUAAAUUGACUUUACUUAAAUUUAUGAGCAGUUGGCAACCCUGAGAAGAAGAUAAACAUCCUAGGAUAAUAGAUAAACAGGUUAGAGAUUACUCAAAGAAGAUAGAUGCUUUCAACUCAGCAGGGCCAGAAGGGAUGCACACCAGGGUAUUGAAGGAAUUAGCUUAAGUAAUUUCAGAAUCAUUGGCUAUCCUCUUUGUGAACCUGUGGAGGUCAGGUGAGGUCCUGGAUGAUUGGAAAAGGACAAAUAUAGUGCCUAUCUUUAAGAAAGGAAAGAAGGAGGAUCCAGGGAAUUCCAGACCAGUCAGCCUGACAUCAAUACCUGGAAUGAUCAUGGAACAGCGACUUAGGGCAUCUAUUACAGAGGACCUAGAGAAGAACAAAUUGAUCAGAAACAGCCAGCAUGGAUUCACCAAGAGUAAGUAAUGGCUGACCAACCUGACUUGCUUCAGUCAUAAGGUGAAAGGCUCUCUGGUUAGAAAGAGCAGUGGAUAUGAUAUAUCUUGAUUUUAGCACCACUUCUAAUAGUCUCCCAUGGCAUUCUCAUUAACAAGCUAAGGAAAUACAGAUUAAAUUAAAGUACUGUAAAGUGGAUACAUAACUGAUUGGGCAAUUGUAGUAAACGAGUAGUCAUCAAUGAUUCAAUAUCUACUCAGGAGGAAAUAGCAAAUGUGUCUUGAAUUUUGCCCCAUCCUACUGCUACAGCAGGGAAAAUAAAUAUGGGGAGUCAGGUACCCCUUUGCCUGCCUUCUUCCCUGCCCCCCACCAACUUCUUCCCCUCCUCCUUACUAUCCA